CAAGGAAUAUUGUGCAAUGGGCGAAAGCCUGACAUAGCGACGCCACGUGGGGGAAGAAGGCCCUCGGGUUGUAAACCCCUUUUCUCAGGGAAGAAUAAUGACGGUACCUGAGGAAUAAGUCACGGCUAACUACGUGCCAGCAGCCGCGGUAAUACGUAGGUGGCAAGCGUUAUUCGGAUUUACUGGGUGUAAAGAGGGAGCGGGCGGCCUUUCAAGUCGAAUAUAAAAUCUCCCGGCUCAACUGGGAGGGACUAUUCGAUACUGUUUGGCUAGAGCGCAGCAGAGGGAGGUGGAAUUCCCGGUGUAGUGGUGAAAUGCGUAGAUAUCGGGAGGAACACCAGUGGCGAAGGCGGCCUCCUAGGCUGUUGCUGACGCUGAGGCCCGAAAGCGUGGGGAGCAAACAGGAUUAGAUACCCUGGUAGUCCACGCCAUAAACGAUGGACACUAGGUAUGGGGAGUAUCGACCCUCUCUGUGCCGAAGCUAACGCUUUAAGUGUCCCGCCUGGGGAGUACGGCCGCAAGGCUA
rnacentral:rRNA from 1 species